rnacentral:rRNA from 1 species
UACGUAGGGGGCAAGCGUUGUCCGGAAUCAUUGGGCGUAAAGCGCACGUAGGCGGAUGUGUCAGUCAGGGGUGAAAUCCCGGAGCUCAACUUCGGAACUGCCUUUGAUACAGCACGUCUUGAGUCCGAUAGAGGUGGGUGGAAUUCCUAGUGUAGAGGUGAAAUUCGUAGAUAUUAGGAAGAACACCGGUGGCGAAGGCGGCCCACUGGACCGGUACUGACGCUGAGGUGCGAAAGCGUGGGGAGCAAACAGG